rnacentral:rRNA from 1 species
AACGAACGCUGGCGGCGUGCCUAACACAUGCAAGUCGUGGGAGAAAGUGACCUUCGGGUCACGAGUAAACCGGCGCACGGGUGAGUAACACGUAGGUAACGUACCAUCGAACCUGGGAUAACCAGCCGAAAGGUUGGCUAAUACCGGGAUACGACCGAGAGGACUUCGGCCCUCACGGUGAAAGGCGGCCUCUGCUUGCAAGCUGUCAUUCGAUGCGCGGCCUGCGCACCAUA